CCGCCUCGCCAGGUUCCAUUUUUCUCUUUCUCUCUCGAUCCCCUCUUCAAACCCUUGAAACAGCGCCCGUACGCUCCCCGCCGCGCCGCCGCCGCUCACUGUGCUCCGCAUCCUCGGCCUCACACCCUUUGCACCGUCUCCUCCUCCUCCCCACCCCUUCGGCGCUCGGCAGUAGGAGCGUCUCGCUGCCGCCCCCAUUGGAGAGGUAUGGCUGCCUGCCCCACCACCACCCACCGGCAGGGACCCCCGCCACUCCUCCAUCGCGUCUCCAUCACCGGAGGAGCGUCGUCUGCCAUUCACACAGCUGCUCCGCCUGGAGGCGUCGCCAUCGACGGGAAGACUCGGUGUCGUCGCUGUCAUGCUCGCGUGUACUCGGCAGGAGGAGCAUGACCCUUCUCUCGCGCUGCUGGUUAGCGACCAACGCAUCCAGGCCCCAGAGUGGCCUCUCCGGUUCUCAGCUCCGUUCACCGACGGGGAGCCGUUGCUAGGAGUGUCGGAUGCCCUGGAGAUGGCCGGAUCUGUGGCGCCUCCAAUUUCGGCUCCAUCUCCACACGUACAGGUUUUUGAUAAUUUGCUCCUUGGGAGGUCUGUUCCUUCAAGUACAGCUAAAUCAAAGAGACACCAACUUAUUUAAGUGCUUGAGAUUUCGAUUAACAACCUGCAACAAUGUCCAUGCCCUUUGGUAUUGCACUUUAAUUAUUUUCUUUACCCAUUUAUUCUCCUGUAGAUAGUUUCUGUCUUAAGUGUCUACAACAAAAGGGAUAAGCAGCACCACAUCCGGGUACCAAAGCCAUCCAUGCCAUUCUGUAUUCCUCUCAUCAUACACUUGAUUAUAAAAAUCAGUUUAUUUUAUUGUGGCUCUACCAUUUAAGCUAUCAAACUACUUUUAUUGCAAUUGGUCUUAAAAUGCCACUAUACUGUUACUACAUUAUUUGCCACUGGUGUAUGCUUUAUUCAUUUGGAGGAACUUCUUUUAUUAGUGAGAAAAAUAGAAAUAUCCUAUUAGUCUGCUGAGAUUUCAAAUGUGACUCCUUACUAAUCCUACAAGUCAUGUUCUUGAUAUUAUGUUGACGUUGCCUUUCUGAGACCUGAGAGUUUUCUAAUGAGAAUCUUUACUAAUCAUACAAGUCAUGUUCUAGAUGUUAAGUCGAGGUUACCUUUUAAGUAAUGUAAACCUGAAAGUGGAAGGAUAAUGUACUAUGUGAUUUGAUUUACCGGCUUUUUACAUGUUGUCCUGCGUUGAUUCAGUCCCAUCUUUUUUACAUUACCCUUCCAUUUUCAGCUGAUAUAUGUAAAAGCUCUAAUGAGCAUGUAAUUGCUAGCAGGGAAUAAAAAGUCUUUGCCAUUUUUUAACAUGUUGUCGUGCGUUGAUUCAGCCUAAGUGUGCCAUCAGAAUGACUUGGAUUCUGCCGCUGUCAUAAGCCCGAUGUUCUGAUCCUAGACCUCGGUUGUUUGGCCAGAUACUAAGUCAGACCAACUCUAUUUAGUUCUUGAGAUUAUUUUCUAGCUUUGGAUUAAAAAUCUGCAAACAGUACUUAUGCUUCUCACAUUCCUUCCUGCUCUAAAAUACACAUAUGCUUUUCUCUUUGUUGUACUUACUACUAAGCUAUGUGUUUUGAACAAAGCAUGUCAUCUCAUUUCAGAUUAAUGAUGAUGUAGUUAUGGACGCCUUCUAAAUGCUACACGUGUGGUUCCCAAUUGGACGAUAUCUUUCCAUGAAGAUCUUCAAAUCACGAGUUGCAAGUAUGAGUGUGCUAUUCAAUCAUUUACUGGGACAAGAGGCGUUUAUUUAUGUCCAGAUUUCUGUUGGAGAUUAUGGUCCAUAGAAGUUCUCAAUCCAAAGCCCAGUUCUAUGUUGAUCUUUUUUCUUGACUCUUUUGUUUUGUUGAUUCAGAUUAUUUACUGUGAAAUUUUUGUACAAUUCCUUGAUUAUAUGUCAGUGUCAAGGCAUCUUUUGACUAUUUGGAUUAAUUUACCUCAGUAUAUUUGAUGUAUAUCUUAGAAUGAUAUGAAAGAAUUUAUUAUUAUGA